GACAGAGGAUGCAAGCGUUAUCCGGAAUGAUUGGGCGUAAAGCGUCUGUAGGUGGCUUUUUAAGUCCGCCGUCAAAUCCCAGGGCUCAACCCUGGACAGGCGGUGGAAACUACCAAGCUGGAGUACGGUAGGGGCAGAGGGAAUUCCUGGUGUAGCGGUGAAAUGCGCAGAUAUCAGGAGGAACACCGGUGGCGAAGGCGGGUCUCUGGGCCGAUACUGACGCUGAGACGCGAAAGCGUGGGGAGCAAACAGG
rnacentral:rRNA from 1 species